AGGGAUAAAAGAAGUUGAUUCCAGUGUAUGUUUGUUUUUAAAUUUAUUAUUUAACAGAGUAUUCUUGCAUCACUACACUUCCACACACUGUACACAUUGGUCCCUAUAACCCUGAUGGCGUCGGCCAGUGGUUCUUUAGUGUAAUACCCGUAAUUAUUUUCUUUAAUUUUAUUAGUUGUCAAGGGCAAUUUGAUAAAUUAAUAUUCUCGGUGAAUAAAUGGGUACCAUUUAAUUUAAUAUUUUCAAAUAAUUAUAUGAUAUUGAUUUGUGAAUUUAAAUAAUUAAGUUAUAAUUUUAUUAAGUUAAAUUAUUUUGACUAAUUAUCAUAUAAGAGUAUAUAAAUAUAUAUGUAUAUGUAAGUGUAUCUAUUUAAGUUGGGAAUGCUUUUAUAGCAUAAGUUAAGGUGAGGGACUAGAAAGAAAUUUUAUAAAAAAAUAAAAAUAAAUAAAUAAAUAAUAAAAAUAUAUAACAAAACUUUUGUUCCUCCCCCUUCUUCCUUCUUCCCCCCGACGCUAACACCUAUCUCUCCCCACCACUUCCUUCCAUUUUCACCACAUGCACCUCCCCCCAGCCGCCGCAAACUCCUUCUUCCCCUCCCUCGUGGCAUCGCCUCCUUCUUCUUCCUUUUUGCUGCCAACGACGAGUUGGAGGAAGGGAAGCUCCUCCCUCACUGCCACCGCAAGCACAACCAUUUGCCUCCCUUUUUUUGUAAAUCCGACGCUCGAAACGAGAUCCCCUCCAUCGAAAACCCCCAAGCCAAGCUCCUCCGCCGUCUUUCCUCCACGGGCAGCAGUUAUAGCCUCGCUGCAGCUGAGACUUUUUGGCCUCGAUUCGGUGGCUUCCGGCAAGUUUCCAGCAACAACAUUUGCAUUUUCAGACUUUCCGGGGCUCAAGCUUCACAUAAGCGCUUCCAGAUUUGAAAUCUGACACCGUUGGUGGCACCAGCUGGAGGCGCAGAAUUUUAGAUUUUUAACUCGAUAAUCCAUCUGUCCAGCCAGCUCCACCUGAGACAUAGGAGCAGACUGCAGAGCGCCGCAGAACUUAGAACAUGCCACCUGAUGGGUUGCAUCAAAGAUCGUGUAUGCACUAGUAUUAAACAAAGACAAGUAGUAAAAGAAUAUUUUUGGGAUUUGCUCUGGUCGAGUACAACUCUCUAGGCUAUAUGAGAAUUUGAUCAACGGAGGAAAGGUCCCUAGUCGAGUAUUGUUCUCUCGGUGCCAGUCUUAUUGCAAUAAGAGAGUCGAAUGGCUAAUAAAAUUGGAGUUUAGGGUUCUGCUGGGGUACUUAUCUCAUAAACGUUUAAAUUGUAUUUUUCUGAAUCAUGG